rnacentral:rRNA from 1 species
AGAGUUUGAUCCUGGCUCAGGAUGAACGCUGGCGGCGUGCUUAACACAUGCAAGUCGAGCGAGAAAAGUUCUUCGGAGCUUUUCUAGCGCCGGACGGGUGAGUAACACGUGGGCAACCUGCCUCAUAGAGGGGAAUAGCCUUCCGAAAGGAAGAUUAAUACCGCAUAACAUUGUUGAAAGGCAUCUUUUAACAAUCAAAGGAGCAAUCCGCUAUGAGAUGGGCCCGCGGCGCAUUAGCUAGUUGGUGAGGUAACGGCUCACCAAGGCGACGAUGCGUAGCCGACCUGAGAGGGUGAUCGGCCACAUUGGAACUGAGACACGGUCCAGACUCCUACGGGAGGCAGCAGUGGGGAAUAUUGCACAAUGGGGGAAACCCUGAUGCAGCAACGCCGCGUGAGUGAUGAAGGUCUUCGGAUUGUAAAGCUCUGUCUUUAGGGACGAUAAUGACGGUACCUAAGGAGGAAGCCACGGCUAACUACGUGCCAGCAGCCGCGGUAAUACGUAGGUGGCAAGCGUUAUCCGGAUUUACUGUGUGUAAAGGGAGCGUAGACGGAAGAGCAAGUCUGAUGUGAAAGGCAGGGGCCCAACCCCUGGACUGCAUUGGAAACUGUCCUUCUUGAGUGCCGGAGGGGUAAGCGGAAUUCCUAGUGUAGCGGUGAAAUGCGUAGAUAUUAGGAGGAACACCAGUGGCGAAGGCGGCUUACUGGACGGUAACUGACGUUGAGGCUCGAAAGCGUGGGGAGCAAACGGGAUUAGAUACCCUGGUAGUCCACGCGGUAAACGAUGAAUACUAGGUGUCGGGGAGCACAGCUCUUCGGUGCCGCCGCAAACGCAUUAAGUAUUCCACCUGGGGAGUACGUUCGCAAGAAUGAAACUCAAAGGAAUUGACGGGGACCCGCACAAGCGGUGGAGCAUGUGGUUUAAUCCGAAGCAACGCGAAGAACCUUACCAAGUCUUGACAUCCCUGUGACCGGCCUUUAAUCGGGCCCUCCCUUCGGGGCACAGGAGACAGGUGGUGCAUGGUUGUCGUCAGCUCGUGUCGUGAGAUGUUGGGUUAAGUCCCGCAACGAGCGCAACCCUUAUCCUUAGUAGCCAGCACGCAGUGGUGGGCACUCUGGGGAGACUGCCAGGGAUAACCUGGAGGAAGGUGGGGAUGACGUCAAAUCAUCAUGCCCCUUAUGAUUUGGGCUACACACGUGCUACAAUGGCGUAAACAAAGGGAAGCGAGAGGGUGACCUUGAGCAAAUCCCAAAAAUAACGUCCCAGUUCGGACUGUAGUCUGCAACCCGACUACACGAAGCUGGAAUCGCUAGUAAUCGCGGAUCAGAAUGCCGCGGUGAAUACGUUCCCGGGUCUUGUACACACCGCCCGUCA